rnacentral:miRNA from 1 species
GAAUGAUGAUGCUGCUGAUGCUGGUUGUGAUGGGGGCUGACGGGGGACAUUGACGUAUGUUGGCCAUGGCGCUGCAACUGCAAUUGAGCGGCUGCUGAGGCUGGAUCUUCGUCCUCAUCGUCAUCGUCAUCAUCAUCCAUG